GCUCCUGCCGUAGCGUUGCCACGGCGUUGGUUGGAAUUUGGGGUCGUGGUUAGGGUGUGCUGCCGGCACUGAAAUCUGCAAUUUGUUACUCGUCCAACUGUCCAAGCGACUCCGAUGCCUGUUGUGCAUGAGCGCAGAGAUCAGGGAUUGGAUUAUUUUACUAUAGAUCAAAUGACAUCCGAAUGUGCCUGGAAUUUGUUUUUGCUGAACCAGGAAUGCACCAGGAAUACAUACAGCAUCUCUGCUCUGCCUAUGGAAAAGGAUUGAACACCACUAAAUCCUUCUUUCCCACCCAAUGUCAAUCGGUAGGGGCUGUCCCGCGUGGCGUUCCUCCAUGGAAGCAUCCAACAGCAACCAAGGACCAGACCAUCUCAUUGUUCUGGUUCAUGGUAUCAUGGCAAGCCCCAGUGACUGGAUAUAUGGGGACACAGUGCUGAAAAGGAGGCUAGGUGAUGAUUUCUUCAUCAAUGCUAGUUCAUCAAACAUCGACGCUAAAACUUUUGACGGGAUCGAUGUAGCUGGAAGGAGGUUAGCGAAAGAAGUAUAUGUGGUAGAGACUAUUCUCUGUUGUUCAUGUAUAUAUUGACUGCUUAGGAAGCUUACAUAAUAAUGCCCUAUGGAAAGAAGGUCUUGGACGUGGUUCAGAAGAUGCCCAGCUUGAACAAGAUUUCCUUCAUAGUACAUUCUUUGGGUGGUGUGUUUGCUAGAUAUGCUAUUUCUAUACUAUAUUCACUGCAAGCAAAAGAAACGGGAAGCGGUGUUGGUGUCAUGCCGACAGUUAGAGGAUCUGAAAUGUCACACACUUCAGGAAUAGUGUCUUUCAAUGGUAACAAAUCAUCGAAGGCAUGAAACGAAUUUGUGUCUUUAUUAAACAGGGCAUCUCUGUGUGUGUGUGUGUGUGUGUCUGAACAAUGCAUCUCUCUUUUUAUGCAUAUGUAAUCACGUUAGAUAGAUCGAUUAUGCCACCAGAUCCGUUCUUACCGCCAAACAACUCAGUUGCUAGCGGACUGAUUUACAGGUUAACUAUUGCCCAGAGACGGGUGAUGCAUCGUGAAUCGGGUUAAAAACUCAAAAGUAGUGCUCUAAUCCAUCGAGGUUAAGGCAAGCAUCAUGCACUUUUAGGCGUGCGGACAAGCGCUGCAAGCCCCAAUGCCUGCUUGCACGUUACUUGAUUCUUUGAUUGAUUCCAUGAACCUUUUGGGAGCAACACAACACACGCGAUGAAGCCAAAUUAACACACGCGCAUUGGGUGAACGGCCUCACGUGUCGUACACGCAUAACCACGUACGUGCACGUGACGACUAACAGCUUUAGACUCGAUGCAUGCAUCGGCGUGUUUGAAAUCACCCAAACGAGUAGAGUGUUGAGUGACUGCAAAUCGUAUCCAGAGAGUAUAGUAGAGUACUUGCUGCUUCUUUUCUUGGUGAGUACUUGCUGCUUCUUUUCUUGGUCUCUGGAUCUCUGCGGCGACUACGGUGGCCUUUUCCCAAUCUGCGAUGCCGACAGCGCCGAAGAUGCUCUUCUUCAACGUGUGCUCUUGAAUCUUGAUUGAGCCAAGCGAGAACCGGAUUCAUCUUUGGUAACUGUUGCAAAGGACGACUCCACAAAUUGGAUCUGGAGAGAUGCUAUUCAGGAGUUUCAACCCAAGGGCAAUGCUAUAGC